UCUUGCGGGACAGAGCGAGCGGACCUGGGAGCGCGCGCGCGCGCGCGUGCGUUUGCAUCCCGCGCAAGAGCAGCCUGGGGGAGCGCCCCCAAAGCGCCUCUCCUCCCGUCUGCGGCGGGCGUGGGGCGCGGCACCCCGGCUCUUGCCGCGAGCGCGCCGCGCCGCUCCUUCCGCCGCGCGCCUGGGCCCCGGGGGCGCCCCUAAGCCCACUAGGGUGCUCCGGCCGGCGCCACGCACCGCCGCUCCCACCGCCUUCCCGACCCGGGCUGCUGGCGGCGCUGCGGCGGGGGAGAAGAAUUGGCGAGCGCCCCUGGUCUCGGUGGUGGCGGCGGGGUGCCCGAGGGAGGCGAUCGGUGCAGCUCCGCACAGUCUUACCACGCCUGCCCACGCGAUCCGAGGGCUUCGGGUUUCCAGCUCUCCGCGGCUCCCGCUGGCGCGCCCGGUGUCCGAGCCGGGGCGAGAGGCGUCCUCCGGUGUGUGCGGGGUGGCCACGGCUGCCCCCACGUGCGCAGUUUCCGAGGGAGCGUGCCGCCGGGAAGCGCUAACCGCGCUAGCUGGCGCCGAGAAACGUGGCCCCGGCUCGGCCGCGCGCCCUCCGGCCCGGGUGUGUGUGGCUUCUGCUUCCCGGGUCUCUGGGCAGGCGGAGGAAUGGCAGGGGUUCCGCUGGUUCUUGGCAGCUCUCUUGGGAAUACCGGUUCAGCGACGCCCGACGUGAUCCCCUUUUCUCAGGGUUUCUGCACCGCUUCCCCCAGAAGUUCGGGCGGCCGAGCAGCCUAGAGGCAGGGAGCCCUGCAGUGACAUUUGCCUUCUCUUUUUGUUGCAGGGAGGAGGGCAGGCGAGAAGAGCGUGGGCUAUCCAACUCUUACUGUGGGUUGUGUAAUAGGCACUCGGUUUGCCUGUCACCUCCCCAGGCAUAACUCAUCGAAUUCAUCCAGCAAACCCAGGGAUUAACAGAUGAAGAAACGGAGGCAAA